GCAUAAUCACUUGUUCUUUAAAUGAGGACUCGUAUCAACGGCAUCACGAGGAUCCUACUGUCUCCCCCCUCUAAUCGGUGAAACUGAUCUCUCCGUGAAGAAGCGGAGAUGUACAUAUAAGACGAGAAGACCCCAUGGAGCUUUAAACCCAACAACACCCGCCCCCCUCCAAAUCCUAUUAUUUACCCGGUGAUUGUUUGUUUGGUUUUAGGUUGGGGUGACCGCGGAGUAUAAGAUAUCCUCCAUGAAAAAAAGCUAACUGCCCUUAUUAGAGAAAGACACUUCCAAAAAAUAAUAAAUUAAUUUUAAAUGAUCCGACAUUCGAUCAACGAACCAAGUUACCCUGGGGAUAACAGCGCAAUCCGUCCCGAGAGCCCCUAUCGACAGGCGGGUUUACGACCUCGAUGUUGGAUCAGGGUAUCCCAGUGGUGCAGCAGCUACUAAAGGUUCGUUUGUUCAACGAUUAAAACCCU
rnacentral:rRNA from 1 species